rnacentral:lncRNA from 1 species
AAUCACAGGAGAUGGGGCAAUCGGCUACAGUCAGUUUGGAAUCUCAGAAAUGCCGGGAGCUCUGUCCGUGCCAUGACCUACCCUGUGAUGAGGCCACCUUCCUUCUGGAAAUGCUGUGACUUCAGGGCGAGAAUCUGCUGUCAACUCACACGCCUGCCCCUAAUACACACUCAAAAAAAAAAAAAAAAAAAAAAAAAGAAAGAAAGAAAGCUGAGAACAGCCCAAGUGUCGGGUGUCGGGCUUCCAGGGAUUGUGAACUCGCCUGCUGCUGCCUGGUUCCCACAGCCCCAAGGGUCCUCACUCACAGCACCACGUCAUCCAGAAAUAGUGCAGGAUGCCACAGCAGCGGAGUCCAGUUCCGG